GCUGGCGGUAGGCUUAACACAUGCAAGUCGAGCGGUAACAGGCAUUUUGAUUCAGCUUGCUGAAUCUCGCGCUGACGAGCGGCGGACGGGUGAGUAACGCGUAGGAAUCUACCUAGUAGAAGGGGAUAGCCCGGGGAAACUCGGAUUAAUACCGUAUACGUCCUUAGGGAGAAAGAGGGCUUAGCUUUGAUGCUCUCGCUAUUAGAUGAGCCUGCGUAAGAUUAGCUUGUUGGUGAGGUAAAGGCUCACCAAGGCUACGAUCUUUAGCUGGUCUGAGAGGACGAUCAGCCACAUUGGGACUGAGACACGGCCCAGACUCCUACGGGAGGCAGCAGUGGGGAAUAUUGGACAAUGGGCGCAAGCCUGAUCCAGCCAUACCGCGUGUGUGAAGAAGGCCUUCGGGUUGUAAAGCACUUUAAGUAAGGAAGAAAAGUAUAUUGUUAAUACCAAUGUACCGUGACAUUACUUACAGAAUAAGGACCGGCUAAUUCCGUGCCAGCAGCCGCGGUAAUACGGAAGGUCCAAGCGUUAAUCGGAAUUACUGGGCGUAAAGCGCGCGUAGGUGGUUUAUUAAGUUGG
rnacentral:rRNA from 1 species